UGAAAGAAGACAAGGAGAGCUAAUUAGAGAGAGAUAGGGGAAGGAAAAACCUUGAAGCUUGGAUCUCCAUCUUCUUCAAGCUUAGACCUCUAAGAUAUUGGGUAUUCUAGGGAUUUUGACAAGGAGUAUUUGGGCGAGCUAAAUAUCUAAGAUUUGGAUAUUUUAGAGUAGUAAGGACAUGUGAAUAGCAUGAGCACAAGUGGUGGGGUCUCGAAGGUGACUUUUGAAACUAGGAGACUUAGUCCUAGUGUUGGAGCUUAUCACGAAUUUUUGUUUCUUUUGGAUAUUCCCUUUGACCCUUGUAUUUUUGGUAACCUGUUGUGCUUGUGAUGUAUUUUGGACAUACUACUCAUGAUUAUAAAUAUUUGUGUGUGGAUUUAA